rnacentral:rRNA from 1 species
CAACUUUUAACAACGGAUCUCUUGGUUCUCGCAUCGAUGAAGAACGUAGCAAAGUGCGAUAACUAAUGUGAAUUGCAUAUUCAGUGAAUCAUCGAGUCUUUGAACGCAACUUGCGCUCAUUGGUAUUCCAAUGAGCACGCCUGUUUCAGUAUCA